GUGAACGGCUUGAUCAUCAUGGGUCUGCCUUCAGCUUCUGGAUGCUGAGAUCUGCAGGGACUGAUCCGCAGGGAUGCCUGUCUUUGAUGGGAGUGGGAGAGGGGGAAGGAGUUGCCUGAGGAGCUUGGAUGCUGGAUGCUGGCCUCGGUGCAGAGGGGCAGGAGCUUAGCAUCUGUACCUGCUGUGUCUCCACCGCAGACCCUCCUCCACCUGUGUGUGUUGGGGGGUGAGGGGAACAACCCGUCUAAUGGUUUCCAAGUUUGGCUGGAGAUUUGGAGGCUUCUGGGUUUGGAACCCGUGUGAUCACCAGCACACCAGUCUCAUGUACCAGAAGACCAGAGAAGGUGUGUCAUCCAUGGAAUCCAACAUCCCAAUCGCAG
rnacentral:lncRNA from 1 species